rnacentral:rRNA from 1 species
CACCGGCGCCACAAGUGGGACCGCUUUACUUGGUCUAAAGCGUUCGUAGCCGGUUGUGUAAAUCUUUUGUGAAAUUGUCGUGCUUAACGCGACAGAUUGCAGAAGAAACUGCAUGACUCGAGACCGGAAGGGGUUUGGAGUAUUCCUUGGGGAGCGGUAAAAUGUUAUAAUCCUUGGAAGACUACCUGUGGCGAAGGCGCCAAACCAGUACGGGUCUGACGGUGAGGAACGAAAGCUAGGGGAGCGAUCC